rnacentral:tRNA from 2 species
GCAGUCGUGGCCGAGUGGUUAAGGCGAUGGACUAGAAAUUCAUUGGGGCCCUCGCACAAGUUCAAAUCCUGUGAACUGUG